AUGCAAGUAGAACGCUGAAGGAGGAGCUUGCUCUUCUGGAUGAGUUGCGAACGGGUGAGUAACGCGUAGGUAACCUGCCUGGUAGCGGGGGAUAACUAUUGGAAACGAUAGCUAAUACCGCAUAACAGUAGAUGUUGCAUGACAUUUGCUUAAAAGGUGCAAUUGCAUCACUACCAGAUGGACCUGCGUUGUAUUAGCUAGUUGGUGGGGUAACGGCUCACCAAGGCGACGAUACAUAGCCGACCUGAGAGGGUGAUCGGCCACACUGGGACUGAGACACGGCCCAAACUCCUACGGGAGGCAGCAGUAGGGAAUCUUCGGCAAUGGACGGAAGUCUGACCGAGCAACGCCGCGUGAGUGAAGAAGGUUUUCGGACCGUAAAGCUCUGUUGUAAGAGAAGAACGAGUGUGAGAGUGGAAAGUUCACACUGUGACGGUAUCUUACCAGAAAGGGACGGCUAACUACGUGCCAGCAGCCGCGGUAAUACGUAGGUCCCGAGCGUUGUCCGGAUUUAUUGGGCGUAAAGCGAGCGCAGGCGGUUAGAUAAGUCUGAAGUUAAAGGCUGUGGCUUAACCAUAGUACGCUUUGGAAACUGUUUAACUUGAGUGCAAGAGGGGAGAGUGGAAUUCCAUGUGUAGCGGUGAAAUGCGUAGAUAUAUGGAGGAACACCGGUGGCGAAAGCGGCUCUCUGGCUUGUAACUGACGCUGAGGCUCGAAAGCGUGGGGAGCAAACAGGAUUAGAUACCCUGGUAGUCCACGCCGUAAACGAUGAGUGCUAGGUGUUAGACCCUUUCCGGGGUUUAGUGCCGUAGCUAACGCAUUAAGCACUCCGCCUGGGGAGUACGACCGCAAGGUUGAAACUCAAAGGAAUUGACGGGGGCCCGCACAAGCGG
rnacentral:rRNA from 1 species